rnacentral:rRNA from 1 species
GGGCGCGACCAUGGAGGCGGGGAUCACCCGGUCCCAUUCCGAACCCGGCAGUUAAGCCCGCCGUCGCCGAGAGUACUGCGGUGUAGUCCGUGGGAGGGUAGGGAGUCGCGCCCG